GGGUUAGCUCCUGAGUUAGACAGAUUGUCAGUUGAAGGACUUCAGAGAAUUUUCAAGAGGCAGAGAGGAGGGAAGUCAAGACCCUGGGUUUUACUACCCUGAAGAUUCUACAUAUGAGCUAAUCCAAAUGAGAAGAUUCUAGGAUUUCACUGGACAGGACACACCUGCAAGAAUCAGAACAAGGAAUGGAAGGAACAUAAGAAGAAAGAAAACAGGAUGAAAUAUGUACUGAAUAAAGCUGUACACUGAAUCUGGAGUCUGACAGUAGUCCUAUGCUUAAUCACCUUUAUACAUAAUAUUAUAUGAUUAUGAUUAGCAAGUCAAAGAAAGCAGGUGUUCCUGGGACUGGAGCAUCUUUUAUAUGGGAGUGAUACAGCUGGAACAGUUUCAGCCUGGAGAAGAGAAGACUCAGGAGUAUCCCAUCAACAUAUUUAAAUACCUGAUGGCAGAGAAUGAAGAUGAGGGAGCCAAGAUGUCCUCACUUGUGCCCAGUGACAGCACAAAAAGCAAUGGGUACCAAAUGAAAAAAAUUUAA